rnacentral:rRNA from 1 species
GAUGAACGCUGGCGGCGUGCCUAAUACAUGCAAGUCGAGCGAACAGAUAAGGAGCUUGCUCCUUUGACGUUAGCGGCGGACGGGUGAGUAACACGUGGGUAACCUACCUAUAAGACUGGGAUAACUUCGGGAAACCGGAGCUAAUACCGGAUAACAUUUGGAACCGCAUGGUUCUAAAGUGAAAGAUGGUUUUGCUAGCACUUAUAGAUGGACCCGCGCCGUAUUAGCUAGUUGGUAAGGUAACGGCUUACCAAGGCGACGAUACGUAGCCGACCUGGGAGGGUGAUCGGCCACACUGGAACCGAGACACGGUCCAGACUCCUACGGGAGGCAGCAGUAGGGAAUCUUCCGCAAUGGGCGAAAGCCUGACGGAGCAACGCCGCGUGAGUGAUGAAGGGUUUCGGCUCGUAAAACUCUGUUAUUAGGGAAGAACAAAUGUGUAAGUAACUGUGCACGUCUUGACGGUACCUAAUCAGAAAGCCACGGCUAACUACGUGCCAGCAGCAGCCGCGG